AGUGAAUAGAUACCCGGGUAGUCCACGCCGUAAACGAUGUCAACUAGCAAUAGGGAGAGUCGACCCUUUCUGUUGCGAAAGCUAAACGCGUCAAGUUGACCGCCUGGGAAGUACGGCCGCAAGGCUAAAACUCAAAGAAAUUGGCGGGGGCUCGCACAAGUGGUGGAGCAUGUGGUUUAAUUCGACAACAACCGAAAAACCUUAUCCGGGGUUUGACAUCUAAGGAAUCUCUAAGAAACUAGAGAGUGCCCGCAAGGGAGCCUUAAGACAGGUGUUGCACGGUCGUCGUCAGUUCGUGGCGUGAGCUGUGAGGUUAAGUCCUUGAACGAACGAAACCCUUGUCCUAUGUUGAAUUUUUCAUAGGAGACAGCCCUGGUAACAGGGAGGAAGGUGGGGAUGACGUCAGAUCCGCGUGGCCUUUAUGCCCCGGGCGACACACGUGCUACAAUGCCGCAGACAAAGGGUUGCCAAGCCGCAAGGCGGAGCUAAUCCCAUCAAAAUGCGGCUCAGUUCGGAUUGGAGGCUGCAACUCGCCUCCAUGAAGCCGGAAUCAC
rnacentral:rRNA from 1 species